AUCCUUUUCUGGUUCAUAAGCAUGAUGAUUGUGUUCUCAUGCACUUGCAUGACAUAUGCCUCCCUCUAAACCUUGUUACAACACGAGCACAUUAUCCAUCUGACA